CUCGUAGGCGGUUCGUCGCGUCCGGUGUGAAAGUCCAUCGCUUAACGGUGGAUCCGCGCCGGGUACGGGCGGGCUUGAGUGCGGUAGGGGAGACUGGAAUUCCCGGUGUAACGGUGGAAUGUGUAGAUAUCGGGAAGAACACCAAUGGACGAAGGCAGGUCUCUGGGCCGUUACUGACGCUGAGGAGCGAAAGCGUGGGGAGCGAACA
rnacentral:rRNA from 1 species